UUGAAUAAAUCUGAACAGUUGUAGCUGGCUCUCCAGAGCAUGUGCACGCUGGUCACCUUUAUCUUUCCACCUGUGAACACACUGUAGUCCUGGAUACCUCUCGCCGCAAGGCGGAUGCUUAGUUUGUUGUGCUGCUCGCAAGGGCGGUCAACUUACUUUGAAUUUCCAGGUCUAUGAUUAUUACAAACCCCAAACGAAUGUUAUAGAAUGUAAUCAUCAGGCCUUGUGCCUAUAAAUUUAUA
rnacentral:misc_RNA from 1 species